AUUUAUCUAAUAUAAUUAGUAUGCCUGACUUCCAAUCAGAAAGUUUGUAAUAGCAAGAUAAAUA
rnacentral:tRNA from 1 species